CCUACGGUGCGCAGCAGUGAGGAAUAUUGGUCAAUGGCCGAGAGGCUGAACCAGCCAAGUCGCGUGAGGGAAGACGGCCCUACGGGUUGUAAACCUCUUUUGUCGGGGAGCAAAGCGAACCACGUGUGGUUCAUUGAGAGUACCCGAAGAAAAAGCAUCGGCUAACUCCGUGCCAGCAGCCGCGGUAAUACGGAGGAUGCGAGCGUUAUCCGGAUUUAUUGGGUUUAAAGGGUGCGUAGGUUGUUUUUUAAGUCAGCGGUGAAAGUUUGUGGCUCAACCAUAAAAUUGCCGUUGAAACUGGAAGACUUGAGUGUGUUUGAGGUAGGCGGAAUGCGUGGUGUAGCGGUGAAAUGCAUAGAUAUCACGCAGAACUCCGAUUGCGAAGGCAGCUUACUAAGCCAUAACUGACACUGAAGCACGAAAGCGUGGGGAUCAAACAGGAUUAGAUACCCUAGUAGUC
rnacentral:rRNA from 1 species